CUACUUCCUUCCUGUUUUCGCUGUGCAUGCUGGGUGUUUGCUCUGGUGUGAGUGGCUGUGUUGGACUCUGAGUGCGAUGUGACGUUGUAUAAAUACUCCACCAUUGCACUAGCUGGGACUUUGGGCCUCGUGGUGCUGGUUGCUUUGUAGUUAAAAAUCAAAGAUCUCAUUUUCUCCCCAGUCCCACAGGACCAGCAGACUCAAGAGAAUGACACACAAUAUGCAGCUUUAGAUUUUAAAACAAAGCAAAGGAAUAAAAA